UGAAAGAGGAGCGCACUGAGCAUGGGAAUCUUCGCUCAACUUUAGAGGCGAUUUUCUCGAAUGGGCUGUUGCAUCACACUUACAUGUAGUAUUAGGCCAAUUUGUGAUAUUCAAAAUAAAUUAGUUUAAUUAA